CUAUACUCUGUGGUUAGUGGACACGUGGCGCCUAAACGUUGGGGUCCACCUUUUUAUAUUAAAAAUAGUAUAGCCGAACGGCUAUACUCAGUUUUUUAUUUUUUUAAUUAAAAAAAUUGACACGUGGCGCCUAAACGUUGUGGUCCUCCUUUUUAUAUUAAAAAUAGUAUAGCCGAACGGCUAUACCCAGUUUUUUAUUUUUUUAAUAAAAAUGUUGACACGUGGCGCCUAAACGUUGGGGUCCUCCUUUUUUAUAUUAAAAAUAGUAUAGCCGCACGGCUAUACUCUGGUUUUUAAAUUAUUAUUAUUUUUUUUAAAAUUUAAAUUUUUAUGAAAAGUUUGGCUACACCCUUUAAGUAGCAUAGUAUGUAUUUCACUUUUUAAAUUACUUUGAUUAGUAAUUAACUUAGUGAAUAUUAAAGGAGAAAAAGAAAAAGAGAAAUUGAAUUACUAUUCAUUAAGUAAUAUAAUUCAUGAAGUUAAUUAAAAUAUUUAAUCAUAAUCAGUCAUUAAAUAAAUAAUAAUUAAAAUAUAAUUGCUAAUUCAACUAAUUAAAUCUCCAAAUAUAUUAUGUAGUUAAUAAGAAUAAAAUUUUUAAAAAUUAAUUAACCUAAACAUCCCAAGUUUAUAUUUAUUUUUUAAAAGUAAGACCUCUCCCGACGAAAUGUCGUCGGCAAAGAUAUUUUCGUCGGGGGAAACCUAAUCCGGCAAAUUUUGUCGGCAUAGAUCUUUGCCGACGAAAUUUCGUCGGGAGAAGUGUUCUUGUGUUUUUUUUUUUUUUUUUUGGAAAAGUAUAAAAUUUUAAAAUAUAAAAUUAGUUUCUUUACUUUUUCUUUUGGCCAACUUCCUUCAUUUAAUAUAUGUAAUUAAGUAAUAUCUUAUUCUUUUUUAAUUACUUUAAUUAGUCGUAAUAUAUAUAUAUAUAUGUGUGUGUGUGUGUGUGUAUGUACGUACGUAGUUUCUAAUAAUACAUUCGUGUUCUAUACGCACCUCCUUUUUUUAAAAAGCAAACAUACAAUAGUCGUAUUGUACAUGUUUGUACGUAUUUGUAAUGCUUUUUCUUUAAAAAAAAAAUUAAAUUUAAUCCUUUUUAAUAAACAUAUAAUUACUUUCUUUGCUUUAGUUUUUUGGUCCACUUCUUUAAUCCAAUACAUGUAAUUGAGUAACAUCUUAGCCUUUUUGAAUUACUUUAAUUAGUAAUUAUUAAUUAGUAUUUAAAAAAUUAUAGAAAAAGUCCACAAAAUAAUUAAAUUCUAUUUACAUAGUAUAGCCGCAAGGCUGUACUAUAUUUUUCUCUUUGAAAGAUAGUCUAGCCGGGCGGCUAUACUGUUUGGGACACGUGGCGCCUAACCGCUGGAGGCUCAUUUUUUUAAAACAAAAAAGAGUACAGCCGCACGGCUAUACUCUGUGGUUAGUGGACACGUGGCGCCUAAACGUUGGGGUCCACCUUUUUAUAUUAAAAAUAGUAUAGCCGAACGGCUAUACUAAGUUUUUUUAUUUUUUUUAAUUAAAAAAAUUGACACGUGGCGCCUAAACGUUGUGGUCCUCCUUUUUAUAUUAAAAAUAGUAUAGCCGAACGGCUAUACCCAGUUUUUUUAUUUUUUUUAAUAAAAAUGUUGACACGUGGCGCCUAAACGUUGGGUCCUCCUUUUUUAUAUUAAAAAUAGUAUAGCCGAACGGCUAUACUCUGGGUUUUAAAUUAUUAUUAUUUUUUUUAAAAUUUAAAUUUUUAUGAAAAGUUUG
rnacentral:lncRNA from 1 species